rnacentral:rRNA from 1 species
CCCCUUAACUUCCGUAAAUUUUCUUGCUAACUUUUUCUCUCUUAGGUGAACCUGCGGAAGGAUCAUUAUCGAGUUCGGGUCCUUUGGGGCCCAAUCUCCAACCCUAUGUCUAUAUACCCUGUUGCUUCGGCGGGCCCGUUGGCAUUGUCAACCGCCGGAGGGUGUUGAUUCGCCCUCUAGCUCGUGCCCGUCGAUGGCCAAUUUUCGACUCUUGAUGAAUAUGUCUUCUGAGUAUGAAUAUAAAAAUAAGUAAAAACUUUCAACAACGGAUCUCUUGGUUCUGGCAUCGAUGAAGAACGCAGCGAAAUGCGAUAAGUAAUGCGAAUUGCAGAAUUCCGUGAGUCAUCGAAUCUUUGAACGCACAUUGCGCCCUUUGGCAUUCCGAAGGGCAUGCCUGUUCGAGCGUCAUUAUCAACCCUCAAGCCUAGCUUGGUAUUGGGCGACGGUGGUCAUUCACCCGCUUCAAAGGCAACGACGGCGUUCGCAAGACCCCCGGUACAAUGAGCUUUUCACAAGGCACGUACUGUGGUGGGCUUGGGGACCCGGUCUACCCGUUAUUUCUCAGGUUGACCUCGGAUCAGGUAGGGAUACCCGCUGAACUUAA